UGCUUUUUUUCUGAGCCGUGGAACAGUAGCUCUCGGUACAUCCGCCGCUGACGGCGAUCCCCCAUCCCCCACCACCCCCCCCUGCGUCUGCUCGGGCUAGCCGGCGAUGGAAGAUGCCGGUCUAGUUCCUGCUCGACGCCGUCGACCGGUUUCCCCUUCGGGAGGAGUUUGCGGACUGCCUGUACUCAUCCAGAUCCGAUUCCUCUGGCGGUGCUACUGCGGCGAUCUGUGUUACUCGUGCCAAUUGGGAGGCACCUGGUAGCGGCGGCAGAUGGCGUCGAGAAGGAGACAUGCCCAAUGGGUAAUGGGAAGCCGACGGUCAAGAAUCAUCAAAUCAGGUUAUCAGGCAAUUUCUAGACUCUGAAUGUUCAAAACAUCAGCUCUGAAACAUCAAAGGCGCUAUUUGUUUUACAUAGUUUGGUCGGCUACUGAUUAAAGGGACGGCUUACAAUGUUACAGAAGUUGAGAAGAUGAGGAAAACAAUGCAGCCAAGAGGGAGAAAUGGAGCAGGGUCAUGUACUAGGUGACCGUCAAGGCCGCCGGUUUAGAGUUGUAGUGUGAGUGCGGGCAAUUCGAGCACAUGGGCAUGCUGUGCUCUCAUGUCUGAAUGGUGAUGGACGUGCUUCACCUGGAGGAGAUUCCUGCAAAACCCAUCGUGAAGCGGUGAACGAAGGAUGCAAGGAAUAUCCUCUGUCCAGACACCUUGUGCAGUACCAGAAAGACCAGUCGGUUAAUAAGUCCUUUUGGUACUCUGUAUGUGCAAGAUAUGGACGUUGUCAGGAGGGGCGACGCGAGCACGGAAGGUUUGAAACACAUGUCGGCUGGCCUCAAGGCAUUGCUCGCCAGCGGGCCGCCAUUCGUUGAGCAGACGAAUGGUUUAGGUUUUGUGGACCGUCAGGGAAAUACGCUUGCAGGAGUGCUGCGUGGGAAAGGAGAAACUGAAUUUAUUGCAAAUUGGGGGGUUCAGAUCAUGCAAUUGGAGGUCAAAGUGCCCCGAAGAAGCGAAGAGGAGUUGGCAGACCGACGGACAGCCAAGAGAAAGCACCGUACGAGGGAUGAGUAAACGGACAAGGUUUUGCAGUAUCUGUCGCGGCGACGGCCACAAAAGAUGAACUUGCCUUGGGCGGGGUGAUGCCCCUAAGCAAUCGCGAAAACCAGGAAAAUUCAACAACGGUGUAAUGGAAGCACACCGCCGGAACACAUGCACAUCAUAACUGCUUCGUUGUCCGCAGAAUCAAAUGUGAAAACUAGAUUUUAAUUGAUGUAUGUUGUGCUAUGAGGACUUCUGGUGUGUUGAGCUUUGCUCCAUGCUUGUUCCUCCACAUCUGAACGUGGGACUAAAGUGUGACAUUGAGUGAACUUGUUUGACGUUGAUCAGUAUCUUCCUCUGUGUGUGUGCUUGUUUUGAGUUGUUAUGUGUGACUGGAAAUGAAUGUUUGGUAGAAUAUCUGUUUGUUGUG